CGAUGGAUGUGUAUGGAUUAACUAUAGACACCGUCCGAAGAGAUAAGCAUCAUUUAUGAGAUCCAAGGGACAAUUGCAGAUUUUAUGCAUUGUCCCCAGUUACUGGGUGUACAUCUGUGCUUACCGAUAUGUUAUUUUGUUUUGGACUUUUUGCACUUUUAUUAUAUAACACUGUUGUUGCUAAUGUAAAAUGUUUAACAUACACUCCUACAAGUCACUUGAAGUGUUAUGGUCAGCCUGAUGAGAGAGAGAGAGACACACACACACACAGACAGACAGACAGACAGACACACAGAGACACACAGAGAGAGAGAGACAGAUAGAUUAAUGUUUCUGCAUUCUUUUCUUGAUUUUGAUAUUAUUUUUUAUGUCUGUAUAAUUCAUAUAUGGAAAUAAAUUAUUGAAUUGAAAUUGAAUUGAAUAUUGGCCAAAUAUGCGACUGUUUUCUGGUGCAGAGUAGCCUAUUAAAAAACAGACCAAAAAAACAAAAACAAAACUUAACCGAUUUACUUGUGUUUUAAAGAGGGGCAUUUGGUCUUGGUGACAGAUUUCCUAACAGUAGUUAUGCCGUUAUUAUGGAAAAUAAAUUAUCAUCCUUUGCAACCCCAUUGUUCUUGAACGUGCACGUGUCAUUCGCAAUGAAUACCGCCACUGGUAUAAAUAAAAUUAUUGUCCAUGGAAAUGUUUUAAUUGCAGGGGUUGCUAUCAUUGGCUCCCCAUCACUGCCC